rnacentral:rRNA from 1 species
GACGAACGCUGGCGGCGUGCCUAACACAUGCAAGUCGAACGCGCUCCAUUCGGUAGCAAUACUGAUGAAGAGCGAGUGGCGAACGGGUGAGUAGCACGUGAGCAACCUGCCCCGAAGACUGGGACAACACCGGGAAACCGGUGCUAAUACCGGAUAUCCCUAUCGGACCGCAUGAUCUGAUAAGGAAAUGGAUUCCGCUU